rnacentral:rRNA from 1 species
UACGUAGGGUCCGAGCGUUGUCCGGAAUUACUGGGCGUAAAGAGCUCGUAGGUGGUUUGUCGCGUUGUCCGUGAAAACUCACAGCUCAACUGUGGGCGUGCGGGCGAUACGGGGCAGACUGGAGUACUGCAGGGGAGACUGGAAUUCCUGGUGUAGCGGUGAAAUGCGCAGAUAUCAGGAGGAACACCGGUGGCGAAGGCGGGUCUCUGGGCCG